rnacentral:rRNA from 1 species
AGAGUUUGAUCACGGCUCAGAUUGAACGCUGGCGGCAGGCCUAACACAUGCAAGUCGAACGGUAACAGGAAACAGCUUGCUGUUUCGCUGACGAGUGGCGGACGGGUGAGUAAUGUCUGGGAAACUGCCUGAUGGAGGGGGAUAACUACUGGAAACGGUAGCUAAUACCGCAUAACGUCGCAAGACCAAAGAGGGGGACCUUCGGGCCUCUUGCCAUCGGAUGUGCCCAGAUGGGAUUAGCUUGUUGGUGGGGUAACGGCUCACCAAGGCGACGAUCCCUAGCUGGUCUGAGAGGAUGACCAGCCACACUGGAACUGAGACACGGUCCAGACUCCUACGGGAGGCAGCAGUGGGGAAUAUUGCACAAUGGGCGCAAGCCUGAUGCAGCCAUGCCGCGUGUAUGAAGAAGGCCUUCGGGUUGUAAAGUACUUUCAGCGGGGAGGAAGGGAGUAAAGUUAAUACCUUUGCUCAUUGACGUUACCCGCAGAAGAAGCACCGGCUAACUCCGUGCCAGCAGCCGCGGUAAUACGGAGGGUGCAAGCGUUAAUCGGAAUUACUGGGCGUAAAGCGCACGCAGGCGGUUUGUUAAGUCAGAUGUGAAAUCCCCGGGCUCAACCUGGGAACUGCAUCUGAUACUGGCAAGCUUGAGUCUCGUAGAGGGGGGUAGAAUUCCAGGUGUAGCGGUGAAAUGCGUAGAGAUCUGGAGGAAUACCGGUGGCGAAGGCGGCCCCCUGGACGAAGACUGACGCUCAGGUGCGAAAGCGUGGGGAGCAAACAGGAUUAGAUACCCUGGUAGUCCACGCCGUAAACGAUGUCGACUUGGAGGUUGUGCCCUUGAGGCGUGGCUUCCGGAGCUAACGCGUUAAGUCGACCGCCUGGGGAGUACGGCCGCAAGGUUAAAACUCAAAUGAAUUGACGGGGGCCCGCACAAGCGGUGGAGCAUGUGGUUUAAUUCGAUGCAACGCGAAGAACCUUACCUGGUCUUGACAUCCACAGAACUUUCCAGAGAUGGAUUGGUGCCUUCGGGAACUGUGAGACAGGUGCUGCAUGGCUGUCGUCAGCUCGUGUUGUGAAAUGUUCGGGUUAAGUCCCGCAACGAGCGCAACCCUUAUCCUUUGUUGCCAGCGGUCCGGCCGGGAACUCAAAGGAGACUGCCAGUGAUAAACUGGAGGAAGGUGGGGAUGACGUCAAGUCAUCAUGGCCCUUACGACCAGGGCUACACACGUGCUACAAUGGCGCAUACAAAGAGAAGCGACCUCGCGAGAGCAAGCGGACCUCAUAAAGUGCGUCGUAGUCCGGAUUGGAGUCUGCAACUCGACUCCAUGAAGUCGGAAUCGCUAGUAAUCGUGGAUCAGAAUGCCACGGUGAAUACGUUCCCGGGCCUUGUACACACCGCCCGUCACACCAUGGGAGUGGGUUGCAAAAGAAGUAGGUAGCUUAACCUUCGGGAGGGCGCUUACCACUUUGUGAUUCAUGACUGGGGUGAAGUCGUAACAAGGUAACCGUAGGGGAACCUGCGGUUGGAUCACCU